UGGAGGCAGCAGUGGGGAAUCUUCCGCAAUGGACGAAAGUCUGACGGAGCAACGCCGCGUGUAUGACGAAGGCCUUCGGGUUGUAAAGUACUGUCUUUGGGGGCGAACGAUCGAUGUGUAAAUAAUGCAUUGAUGUGACGGUACCCAAGGAGGAAGCCCCGGCUAACUACGUGCCAGCAGCCGCGGUAAUACGUAGGGGGCGAGCGUUGUCCGGAAUCAUUGGGCGUAAAGGGCGCGUAGGCGGGUAUUUAAGUCUGGUGUGAAAGGUGAGGGCUCAACCCUCAAAUUGCACCGGAAACUGGGUAUCUUGAGGACAGGAGAGGAAAGCGGAAUUCCACGUGUAGCGGUGAAAUGCGUAGAUAUGUGGAGGAACACCAGUGGCGAAGGCGGCUUUCUGGACUGUAACUGACGCUGAGGCGCGAAAGCGUGGGGAGCAAACAGGAUUAGAUACCCCGGU
rnacentral:rRNA from 1 species